CUUUGUUUACGCUUCCACUGUGGAAGCAAGAUUCAUCUUCCUGCUUUUCUCCGCUUCUUUUGCUCGGCGCCAUCUUGUCCUCUCCCUUCUGACUUGACAUUGUUCAAAGUUGAGAGAAAGAGCCUCCCUGAGACUCAACCAUUUAAGGCAUAGAAAGCAUUGUGACAAGAAACUUAAUAGUUUUUAAUCCUGGCAGAAAGGACAAGGAAAACCAAAGAUAAAGAUUGAGUACAUUUUAUUAUUCUCCUAGGAAUGGGAGAGGAGGAAUUUCACAUUUAAUAAACAUCUCGCUUCAGUUC